GUGAUGAUAAACCAAAGCAGGGAAUCUCUUGUCGAGCGCGGCGCACGCGCUGCGUGGUGACAUGACACACUUUGCGUUAUCCAAUCCAUUCAU